rnacentral:rRNA from 1 species
UGGUAUCCUGUCUGAAUAUGGGGGGACCAUCCUCCAAGGCUAAAUACUCCUGACUGACCGAUAGUGAACCAGUACCGUGAGGGAAAGGCGAAAAGAACCCCGGCGAGGGGAGUGAAAAAGAACCUGAAACCGUGUACGUACAAGCAGUGGGAGCCUCUUAAUGGGGUGACUGCGUACCUUUUGUAUAAUGGGUCAGCGACUUAUAUUCUGUAGCAAGGUUAACCGAAUAGGGGAGCCGAAGGGAAACCGAGUCUUAACUGGGCGUUAAGUUGCAGGGUAUAGACCCGAAACCCGGUGAUCUAGCCAUGGGCAGGUUGAAGGUUGGGUAACACUAACUGGAGGACCGAACCGACUAAUGUUGAAAAAUUAGCGGAUGACUUGUGGCUGGGGGUGAAAGGCCAAUCAAACCGGGAGAUAGCUGGUUCUCCCCGAAAGCUAUUUAGGUAGCGCCUCGUGAAUUCAUCUCCGGGGGUAGAGCACUGUUUCGGCAAGGGGGUCAUCCCGACUUACCAACCCGAUGCAAACUGCGAAUACCGGAGAAUGUUAUCACGGGAGACACACGGCGGGUGCUAACGUCCGUCGUGAAGAGGGAAACAACCCAGACCGCCAGCUAAGGUCCCAAAGUCAUGGUUAAGUGGGAAACGAUGUGGGAAGGCCCAGACAGCCAGGAUGUUGGCUUAGAAGCAGCCAUCAUUUAAAGAAAGCGUAAUAGCUCACUGGUCGAGUCGGCCUGCGCGGAAGAUGUAACGGGGCUAAACCAUGCACCGAAGCUGCGGCAGCGACACUAUGUGUUGUUGGGUAGGGGAGCGUUCUGUAAGCCUGUGAAGGUGGCCUGUGAGGGUUGCUGGAGGUAUCAGAAGUGCGAAUGCUGACAUAAGUAACGAUAAAGCGGGUGAAAAGCCCGCUCGCCGGAAGACCAAGGGUUCCUGUCCAACGUUAAUCGGGGCAGGGUGAGUCGACCCCUAAGGCGAGGCCGAAAGGCGUAGUCGAUGGGAAACAGGUUAAUAUUCCUGUACUUGGUGUUACUGCGAAGGGGGGACGGAGAAGGCUAUGUUGGCCGGGCGACGGUUGUCCCGGUUUAAGCGUGUAGGCUGGUUUUCCAGGCAAAUCCGGAAAACCAAGGCUGAGGCGUGAUGACGAGGCACUACGGUGCUGAAGCGACAAAUGCCCUGCUUCCAGGAAAAGCCUCUAAGCAUCAGGUAACAUCAAAUCGUACCCCAAACCGACACAGGUGGUCAGGUAGAGAAUACCAAGGCGCUUGAGAGAACUCGGGUGAAGGAACUAGGCAAAAUGGUGCCGUAACUUCGGGAGAAGGCACGCUGAUAUGUAGGUGAAGCGACUUGCUCGUGGAGCUGAAAUCAGUCGAAGAUACCAGCUGGCUGCAACUGUUUAUUAAAAACACAGCACUGUGCAAACACGAAAGUGGACGUAUACGGUGUGACGCCUGCCCGGUGCCGGAAGGUUAAUUGAUGGGGUUAGCGGUAACGCGAAGCUCUUGAUCGAAGCCCCGGUAAACGGCGGCCGUAACUAUAACGGUCCUAAGGUAGCGAAAUUCCUUGUCGGGUAAGUUCCGACCUGCACGAAUGGCGUAAUGAUGGCCAGGCUGUCUCCACCCGAGACUCAGUGAAAUUGAACUCGCUGUGAAGAUGCAGUGUACCCGCGGCAAGACGGAAAGACCCCGUGAACCUUUACUAUAGCUUGACACUGAACAUUGAGCCUUGAUGUGUAGGAUAGGUGGGAGGCUUUGAAGUGUGGACGCCAGUCUGCAUGGAGCCGGCCUUGAAAUACCACCCUUUAAUGUUUGAUGUUCUAACGUUGGCCCGUAAUCCGGGUUGCGGACAGUGUCUGGUGGGUAGUUUGACUGGGGCGGUCUCCUCCUAAAGAGUAACGGAGGAGCACGAAGGUUGGCUAAUCCUGGUCGGACAUCAGGAGGUUAGUGCAAUGGCAUAAGCCAGCUUGACUGCGAGCGUGACGGCGCGAGCAGGUGCGAAAGCAGGUCAUAGUGAUCCGGUGGUUCUGAAUGGAAGGGCCAUCGCUCAACGGAUAAAAGGUACUCCGGGGAUAACAGGCUGAUACCGCCCAAGAGUUCAUAUCGACGGCGGUGUUUGGCACCUCGAUGUCGGCUCAUCACAUCCUGGGGCUGAAGUAGGUCCCAAGGGUAUGGCUGUUCGCCAUUUAAAGUGGUACGCGAGCUGGGUUUAGAACGUCGUGAGACAGUUCGGUCCCUAUCUGCCGUGGGCGCUGGAGAACUGAGGGGGGCUGCUCCUAGUACGAGAGGACCGGAGUGGACGCAUCACUGGUGUUCGGGUUGUCAUGCCAAUGGCACUGCCCGGUAGCUAAAUGCGGAAGAGAUAAGUGCUGAAAGCAUCUAAGCACGAAACUUGCCCCGAGAUGAGUUCUCCCUGACUCCUUGAGGGUCCUGAAGGAACGUUGAAGACGACGACGUUGAUAGGCCGGGUGUGUAAGCGCAGCGAUGCGUUGAGCUAACCGGUACUAAUGAACCGUGAGGCUUAACCUU